rnacentral:lncRNA from 1 species
AUAGGUAGGUGGAUAGAUGGCUGGAGGACAGAUAGUGAGGGAAGUAGAUGGUGGAUGGAUGGUGGAUUGGUGGGUGGAUGGAUGGAUAGAUAGAUAGUGGAUGGAUGAUGGGUGGAUGGAUAGAUGGGACAGGGAUGGGUAGGUAAAUGAGUACAUGGACGAAUGAUGGAUGGAUGGGUAGGUAAGUGGAAUGGGAUGGGUGGAUGCUCAGAUGAAUGGGUAGGUGGGGGAUGAGCUAAUGAGCCAACUCUUUGACUGCAGCCUGGUCUGUGCUGGCUCUGCCCGUCUGUCUAUCCUGUUGUCCACAGUUCACUCACUUUAGCCAUGAGCCCACCAUGGUCUCAGUGAGACCAGGGAAAGGCCCUGGCUACCAAGCAACACUGGGACCAUGGACAAGCCAUGCUAGAGAGACCGAGGUGGCUACGUGGACUCCCCUGCCACACGACUCUGGCCAGUGUUUGUUCAGAGAGGGUUGAAGUGCCCUUUGAAGCCACAAUGGCCUGAGACUCCCUCACCUAGAGAUAGGGCUGGGACCUCUGAGGGCACCACUAGGGUUGAAGGGCCUUCCCUGGCUGCGCAGGAAGCCCUGGAGGUUGGUACAGGCAAAGCCCAGACACUCAUGCCCACUUAAGCCCCCCUGGGCACCACAGCCUUGGGUCUUAGAGUUCUAUUCUCAGAAGUCAGGGACCAAGGUGGGGGCAGGUGGUUCCUCCAGGGCUCUGAGGGGACCUGUCCAAGGCUCCUCUGCAACUUCUGGUGGCCCCAGUUGGUGCUCGGCUGCGGACACAUCACCUGGACUCUGCACGGCCUCUGUGGCCUUCUCCCUGACCCUCCCCACCUCUUUGUCAGGCACAGGAGUUAGGCCCUCCUGAUCCAAGAUGCUCUCUUGAGAUCCUGAACACAUCCAUCCACAGAGACCUUUUCUCUAAACGAGGCUGUGUGCACGGGCUCCAGAUGGGCAUCUCUGGAGGCCCCACGCAGCCCACUCCCCAGAGCUGGCAAGUAGCAGAGGCGGCUCAGCCCAGGCAGGACCGUGACCCUCCACAGGAUGACCCUGCGGGGCCUAGUGUUGCCGCAGCAUCGGGCAUGGAGAGGCAGGAGGCCCUGCUGCUGGCCCUGCUGGCCCUGGGCACACUGCCCCAGGCCUCGUUUCCCACCUGCACGAGGAGGAGCCUGGAAACUACCCCGGCUCUGGGAUACCUCCUGCCCCACCCCCAGAGAGACCCAAGUGAAGGACUGGGAGCGCCCUCCUGUCCUGGGCCAGGGCAGCCAUGGCCACCGGGCCACCUCUGGCUGCCUCUCUCCCUGGGCCCAGGGGCUACCCCAAGAAAAGGGCUGGAAGUCAGGGGGCGGGCAGCUGAGACUGGAUGGUAGCAAGAGGGGCACACAGCCUGUCCACAGCCUCCAGGGCCUCCCAGCACUGAGCAGGGCCUGCUUCUCACUGCCUGUGGGGACCCAGGGCACAGCUGCUGACCUCAACACACAGCCAGUCACACUCCUGUCCCCAGCUGCUCCCCGUCCCGUGUGGCCCCUGCACCUGGCCACAGCGGGUGCUUGGGGACCAUCUGAGUGGAGUGGGGGACUGAAUGACAAGGCUUGGGGAUCAGAGCCUCGACGCCCUGGGUUCUCGUCCUGUGUGGCCACCUCCGCAGGCCUCAGCCCUCACCCGCAAGCCAGCUCCUCACGAGGAGCAUCUGGGGCAGGUGAAGGGACCUGAGGAGGGCUGGAGGGUAGUGGUCGGGCCCUGGUUGGAGCCCCAGCCCUCCAUGAGCUGCGCUGUCCCCUGGGCCCGGCCGCCCCACCAGGACGGCCCAGCCCCUCCCAGUGGUUUGGUGAUAGGCACAGCAAGGGCUGGGGCAGCCUCAGAGAAAGUGGUCACAGCGGAUGUGGCGCAGAUAGGGUUUCCGAUGUUAUCGGCCCGCAGAGCGGAGACACUGACCUCUUUGUUGGGGGAACAGGAGGGUUCUCAGAUCCACUGGGGAAUUUAAAGUGGCUGACCGGCAUCCCAGGCUGGAGUGGGGCUGGCCAGGGAGCCACAUGGGACAGUGACUCUGAGGGGCAGCAAGCAGGACAGGCCUGGGGCCCUUCUCCAACCCUGGACACGCCUGCCAGGCCAAGCCAGGCGAGGAGCCUGUGGGGGGGAAAGGUCCAGCCUCCGUCUCCCAUGUUCUGGCCACGUGGCAGGCCAGGGAGCUAGAACAGGCCCCUCCACAGCUUGUCCCCGUGGCCCCUGGGAGGGCAGGACAGGAGGGGCCUUCAGCACCAGAGAGGCUCCUAUCCAGCGCUGCUCUGAAGCCAGCAGAGGAGCCCGGCUGCCCCAGGGGCUGAGGGGAAGGCAGGCGGCAGCUGGCCGGGGCUGGCCUGGGAGUGGUGGCCACCCCAUCCCCUGGCUGUGGCCCACAGGUGGGGUGGCCAGGUCCCCGGGCCCUCCCUGCUCAAGCCGCCCCCAGGGCCAGACCCACAGCGUGCCAGCUGGAGCCUGGUGGAGCCUGGUGCCGCCUGCACCCAGACCUCCACGGGAAAACCAGGUUGUGCGGCGUCAGCAGAGCCACGCGUUUUUAUCAUGCUGUGAACACGCUGCUUCUGAGGGCGAUAAGCAUUAAACCGACCGCGAGGCUGUCAGUCUCAGUUUGAGGGUUUAGAAAUAUUGGGACGAAUAAUUAGAUUUCAUAUCGUUACGGCAGCACCCAUCGCAGGAUCAGGCAGAUUAAUUUUCUCACCCUCCUCCACUCAUUAAUAUUCAUUAGAGACUCAGAAGGCCAAGGCAGGGAGGGCCAGCCCCAGCGCCCGCCCGCCAGAGCCCAGGCCCGCGCAGCAGGGCGCCGGAGCCGAGUUCCCCAGUCUGUGUGCCCCGUCCACCUGCCACGGUCCUGGGGUCCGCUCCCAGCCCUCACAGGUGCCUCUGCUAAGUGACAGAGACGCAGCUGGUGCGCAGCCCCGAGCACCCAGGUAGGGUGCCCCUCUGCUCUCCAGCUUGCCUGCAGCAGGCCCAGUGGACAUCUG